rnacentral:lncRNA from 1 species
UAUCCACACCCUUGAAUUCCCCCAUUCUCCUAGUUCUCUCUCAAGAUCCUCUCAAACCCUAGCCGUCUCCCUCCGCUUCCACUCUAAAAUCAUCCAUGGCUUCCAAGGACAUUGAAGUCCUAUACCGGCCUCCUAUAACUCCUACACGCCUGAUUACCGAAGUUUCAAGGCCUAAACAUGAAGAAGCUUGGCCCAGAUUUUGUUCCAUGUGAGUUCUAUGGCUGUCUCCGACGUUGCUCCGGCUAGCCAUGGCUGUUCAAGCCUGAACUUGACUUCUCCUGCUAAGAUCGAUGACCUUCUAAGCCUUUCUCACCAUCUGGGUUCUUCUGAAACCCUAACUUUUGCAGUUCUUUUGAUUUCUUUGAAUGUAUUCUAGAUCUGUGUUUUUCCUAAACUUUCAAACGUUUUCUCAAAGUUUCUUUCAAACUCUGCUUUCAAAACCUUUAUCUUUUCCUAUUUUGGGUUUUGUCAAGUUAUUUAGAAGUUUCUCUGAUCUUUAGCGUGUUCUACUGUGUUUCUUAUAUUGUUCUUCUAUUGUGUUUCUUAUGUUGAUUCUUCUAUUGUGUUUCUUAUGUUGAUUCUUCUAUUGUGUUUCUUUAUGUUAAAGUCUUAAGUUCUUUCUCAGGAUUUAUGAUUUUACUUUCUUAUUUGAUAUUUUUGCUUGACUCUAUUGUCUUUCAUCUCUACACUCGAUUGAUGGAAAAAACCCUAAGUUUAGGUUCAUUUGAGUUCUGAUAUUAUUUGCUAUGUGAUUUGUUUCUUCCUCAUCUCUAAACUUGUUUGGUUUCAAAACCUUAAUUUCUUUGGAUCUAUUUGAGCUUUUGAAGUUGUCUCAUAUGUUGCUCGACUGAAUCUCAAAAUAUUUGUUUCUUUAUAUGAUUCUGAAUCCCUGCUAAACACUUCUAAGUUCUUUCUACUGGACCCAUUGCAUGCUAUUUGAUACUCUCUCUCUUCUCCAUUGUUGGUUUACUGAAACUGACCUAUGAGACUACUAUGUUCCUAUGGUCCACCACUAACUGAUUUUGUAAUUGCAUGACACUUUUCUUUGUUCUAAAUUCAACCCUGCAUGCCUAAUACUUGUGUGCUCUUUAUAUAUGCUGAUCUUCCCUUCUAAAAUGACUUUUAAUUUUUGACUGAUUUCAGACCUCCUUGUGCAAGUCUGAUUGAUUCUUUCCUUGUUUUACUAAUUUCCCUAUUUCUUGGUUUGAUUUGAAACUUUCCUUUGCCUUUCUGACUUGGUUUAUUCAUGAACCAGCAAUUUCAAAUUUAUGACUCCUUGAUUUACUAUGCAUUGAUUGAUUCUUACCUUAUUUGUUUAACCGUGUAUUUCAAAUUUUCUUCCCUUAAUUAAACUCCUAUGUAUUUACCCCUAAUUAUCUACUUUGCACAAGAUACUUACUUGAUCUCUUUCCUUAAAUGAUUUCUUCAUUACCAUUUAAGUUUGAACUCUUUAAUUAAAAGAAGUUCUUCUACUGAUUGAUUUUAAUUGGUACAUGGUUACUUUCUUGCCUUAUUUUCUGCCUAUUUUUAAAAUAUAAAUACCAUGCCCUUUCAUUGAAAAAACACACGAUUACUCUGCGUUUUCUGAACUCAUACUCACGUUCAAAAAGCAUUCUCUCUAGUUACUUGUACUGGGGCAUGUUUUCCAAAUCCUACUACUGCUUUUACUAUAUUGUCUUCCUUGAACUGGUAUGUCUUGAUUAAGAUUUUCAGUAAUCACAAACAAUGUGUUUACUUAAUACCUUUACUUGCAUAUCUGACUGUUGCUUGUGUUUAGUUCAGUUUUUACUUUAGCAUGCUAUAAUUUCCUCAUAUUAUGAAUCCCAAACCCAUAUACCCCAAUGUGUUUGAUGCCAAUGGUUUGUUUGAGACAUGGCAAUAUUGAGUAUUAUGGUCUAUGGCUCAAACUUGAUUCCCCUGGAACCAUAACCUCUAUCUCACCAUCAUAUGUUGUGUAUUCUUGUUGAUUCUGUAAGCAUAAGAACAUUCUCUAUUGUUGUGCAUGCCCUGAAUUGGCUAAUGCCUAAGCACAUAAGCUCUUUGGCAAUUUCUCCAAUCCCUAAACCUUUUGUUUGAUUUGUUUAUGGCCACUUCCUAGCACUUCUCCCCCUUCUUUACUUUCUUAGUUCCUUAAAAUUUUGUUUCUACACUUGCACUCUCUCUUAGACUUUAAGUUAUGUCCCCUCUUGUGAGCCUUACCUUGGGACCCAUUGAGCUCCCUCUAAACUUGGACGCUUGAGGGAUGACCCUUCCACACUGCACUUGUCCCUAUUCCGGUGAUACAAUUUGGGCGUGAG